AAASGACUCUCGGCAACGGAUAUCUCGGCUCACGCAUCGAUGAAGAACGUAGCAAAAUGCGAUACUUGGUGUGAAUUGCAGAAUCCCGUGAACCAUCGAGUUUUUGAACGCAAGUUGCGCCCGAAGCCACCCGGUUGAGGGCACGUCUGCCUGGGCGUCACGC
rnacentral:rRNA from 1 species